CGGAUACUUGGACUGAUAGAGUCGACGCAAAACUGUAGAGAGUUCUAAGUGUUUCCGAAUAGAGUAUCUUUUCAUGAACGGAUUCUCACGAGGCAUUUCUGUAAUCGGCUCACAUAUACUAGUCAUGUAUAUUUAAGGUGGGGAGGACUGUUGACUGAGCGACCUCGCCCUAAAUCCACAACCAAACGAGGAACAUGAAAUGAGGCGGCAUUCGCUCAGUCUAGGUAUGUCCAUCUCAAAUAUACAUGGCCGUAACGNAGGCAUUUCUAUAAUCGCCUCACAUAUACUAGUCAUGUAUAUUUAAGGUGGGGAGGACUGUUGACUGAGCGACCCCGCCCUAAAUCCACAACCAAACGAGGAACAGGAAAUGAGGCGGCAUUCGCUCACUCUAGGUCUGUCCAUCUUAAAUAUACAUGGCCGUAACGUAUAUGUUUAGCCAUUAUAGUUUUA
rnacentral:lncRNA from 1 species